rnacentral:rRNA from 1 species
GAUGAACGCUGGCGAGAUGCCUUACACAUGCAAGUCGUACGAGAAUUUUAAUUUAAGUGGCGGACGGGUGAGUAACACGUAAGAAUUUGCCUUUAGGAGGGGGACAACAACUGGAAACGGUUGCUAAUACCCCAUAUGCUUUCGAGUGAAAUGGAAUUUUCCGCCUAGAGAGAAGCUUGCGGCUGAUUAGCUUGUUGGUGAGGUAAUAGCUCACCAAGGCGACGAUCAGUAUCUGGUUUGAGAGGAUGAUCAGACACACUGGAACUGAGACACGGUCCAG